GAGUUUGAGCCUGGCGCUGAAAAGCACUGCCGGCGUGCUUAACACCUGCCAGUCGAACGAAAGGAGAAAAAAGCUUGUUUCUUUUGUAUCUUGUGGCUAUUGGGUGAUUAACGCGUAAACCACCUGCCUGCGGGAUGGUGACAACAGACGGAAACGACUGCUAAUACCGCAUCCGUUCCUUGGGACUGAUGACUUUGGGAUGACAGGGUGGCCUCUACUUGUAAGUUAUCUCCUGAGCAGGGGUUUGCGUCUGAUUAGGUAGUUGGUGAGGUAACGGCCCAGCAAUACUACGAUCGGUAGCCGGUGUGAGGAGGGUGAACGGCCACAUUGGGUGCUCUUCCUUUUCCUCACUUCCUACGGUCUUUCCGCUCGGGGAAUCGGCUGCGGCGA
rnacentral:rRNA from 1 species